GCGGAUGGCCGGAUGGCCGCGGGCGUCCGGCUGGUCCGGGGCCCGAGGAAAGUCCGGACUCCACAAGGCAACGGUGCCGGGUAACGCCCGGCCGGGGCAACCCGAGGGAAAGCGCCACAGAGAACAGACCGCUUCGCAUGCCGAAGCAAGGGUGAAACGGUGCGGCAAGAGCGCACCGCGCCCCUGGCAACAGGGGUGGCACGGCAAGCCCCACCGGGAGCAAUGCCAAAUAGGGGCUGCAAAUGGGUGCCUUGCCCGCGCAGCCCGGGUUGGCAGCACGAGGCGCCUGGCGACAGGCGUCCCAGAUGAAUGGUCAUCGAGGGGGGAAACCCCUGGACAAAAUCCGGCUUACAGGCCAUCCGCGCAG
rnacentral:RNase_P_RNA from 1 species